rnacentral:siRNA from 1 species
GCUUGCCCAUGUGAUCGAGCAUAA